rnacentral:rRNA from 1 species
UGCAAGUCGAGCGGAUGAAGAGAGCUUGCUCUCUGAUUCAGCGGCGGACGGGUGAGUAAUGCCUAGGAAUCUGCCUGAUAGUGGGGGACAACGUUUCGAAAGGAACGCUAAUACCGCAUACGUCCUACGGGAGAAAGCAGGGGACCUUCGGGCCUUGCGCUAUCAGAUGAGCCUAGGUCGGAUUAGCUAGUUGGUGAGGUAACGGCUCACCAAGGCGACGAUCCGUAACUGGUCUGAGAGGAUGAUCAGUCACACUGGAACUGAGACACGGUCCAGACUCCUACGGGAGGCAGCAGUGGGGAAUAUUGGACAAUGGGCGAAAGCCUGAUCCAGCCAUGCCGCGUGUGUGAAGAAGGUCUUCGGAUUGUAAAGCACUUUAAGUUGGGAGGAAGGGCAUUAACCUAAUACGUUAGUGUUUUGACGUUACCGACAGAAUAAGCACCGGCUAACUUCGUGCCAGCAGCCGCGGUAAUACGAAGGGUGCAAGCGUUAAUCGGAAUUACUGGGCGUAAAGCGCGCGUAGGUGGUUUGUUAAGUUGAAUGUGAAAGCCCCGGGCUCAACCUGGGAACUGCAUCCAAAACUGGCAAGCUAGAGUAUGGCAGAGGGUGGUGGAAUUUCCUGUGUAGCGGUGAAAUGCGUAGAUAUAGGAAGGAACACCAGUGGCGAAGGCGACCACCUGGGCUAAUACUGACACUGAGGUGCGAAAGCGUGGGGAGCAAACAGGAUUAGAUACCCUGGUAGUCCACGCCGUAAACGAUGUCGACUAGCCGUUGGGAUCCUUGAGAUCUUAGUGGCGCAGCUAACGCAUUAAGUCGACCGCCUGGGGAGUACGGCCGCAAGGUUAAAACUCAAAUGAAUUGACGGGGGGCCCGCACAAGCGGUGGAGCAUGUGGUUUAAUUUCGAAGCAACGCCGAAGGAACCUUACAGGCCCUUGACAUGCAGAGAAACUUUCCAGA